GGGGGGGGGGUCGCAGACGUAAGUCGGUCGCAGCGGGCAGGUGACGACCAUCAUCAUUACCAGGCAGUAUUAGAGAAAGGGAUGAUAUCCAAUGCUGCCUCGUAAGAUGGAGGUAGUCGCCUAAAGCUGCUCUGGCAGCAGCAUCACCUUCACCUCCAAACCUCCUCUGCCAGCAGAAGACACGCUGACGGCCCCCAAAGACCACCGGACCGUCUUCAGACAGACUCACGAGUCCCCAUCAGGAACAGGGAAGUCAGUGACAGAACCCUCAUGGUGGCUGGGGGGUUUUCACCGCAAACCUGCAGUCGCUGCGCUACACUUGUUAAUGAUUGCCAAAACCUGUUCUGACUAGUCCAACGGUUUGGCACGGCUGCUCCUCACCCAAAAUGUAGCUGCAAGUUAUUUCAGAUUUGUCUCCAGGACUAGAACCCGGCGCCACUGGGAGAGCUGGUUCUGUUGGAGAAGGUUGUGUAAAGAGGGGUGACGUGGCAGAACGCCGGCGACGCUUCGCUCACGGCCACGGUGUCAGGCAUGAGGAGCGGGCGGAAAGGAGAGCGGCGGCGGAGGACCUCUCGGGUCUUUGUGUUUGCUGUGUGAUGAAAGGCUGAUGGAAUGCUGCUCGGCCCGACCCGAGUCAGCCGUGUGUGCAGAAGGUCAGCCCCCGUUUACUCGAUAACACGGAUCCUUCACAGGUACAAAGCGUGAAACCCUCGCACGCCAUUCUGACCUUUAAAUGCUCCCUUCAACCGAUCAUUCAGCCGUAAAUUAAGUAAAGAUUCCCCCCCGAUCGCCAUGGCCAGGUUUUUUCACUGGAGGCAUUUCUGUGCUCCUUCAGGAGGAACAGGUGUGUACAGUCAUCACAAAAGCUAUUCAAAGGAGGGGGGGGGCAGAAUGCAGGAAAAUUUAAGGGAGAAGAAGGUGGAAGAAGAAAAUGCACCUGUAACCUUACCGUCGUCAAUGGUACCCCAAGGAAAGAGUGCAACAAAACCCAGGUAAAGUGUUUAGAGGGAGGGGGCCGGGGCAGAAAAAGCUCUUGAGUUUCCAGCCCGCUGCCUGAGAACGCGGCGUCUUCCUCCCGGUCAGGCGGGCCCCGUGAAAUGAGAAAGUCAAGCAGCCCUGCUCUCCCAGACCCAUAUUUAGUUAAUCAUCAGCGCUCUAAACCAGGGCUGCAGGCCAUCUGAGGAAGAAAAGAGGAAGAGAAAGGAAGGAAGGAGGAGAAACAAAGUGUUAGCCCAGAAAAACUCCCCAGAGAGAAGUUCAGGAAAAACCAGUACCUGAUCAGAGCUCGCUGAACGUCUGACCAACCACCUCGUCCUCCAUUAGUCCAGAAACCUCCUCCUCUGACUACACACUCCCAGCCGCUCUGCUGCGGGGAGCAGAGUGAGUCGGCGCCGCUUACGGCGACCCACGCUCUGGGGUGAGGCCUGAUCAGGUAACUCUGCCCUCCCUGCUGGAAUGUGACUCUGCUGUGAAGUGAACAACCCGAUAGGUAAACUGGCCUGGCCCUUAAUCAAUAGUUGCCGUCUUUGGGAGAAAACAAUGGCGAGGAAACCUUAAACCUUGUUUAACUCCAGCCCUCAUCUCGACCCCCCUAACCCCUCAACCCCCCCACCCCACCCUGACCGCAGAGGAGCAGCGCCGCGCUCUGAUGUUCUCAUCCCCCUGGUGCCACCUAAGCUACUUUUUAAUGUACAUUGAGUGACAAAGCCGGUUCAUGUGUGUCCGUUGGUGGCUCCGCCCCCUGAGUUACUCCACCCCCUACCUGGCCUCUGCUUUGAAUAUUUCAAAUGGGAGACUAAAAUAUUCACCUGAUUUGAAUUUGUUCAGUUUGUGAAACUCGGAGGAAGCGUUAAGUCCAAUAACUUCCUAAUCUGCCUAAAAAUGGGACAAAACGAUUAGAAUGAGUAACUGCUGUGAAUGAUUGAUGCCUUCAGGAAAAGCUGAACGGACCACAAACGUCUGACUCAUCGCCUCGGUUCAUCUGCAGUUUCAACGUCUCUCCUCUGAGGAAGUUCCACUGUUUUCACUGCAAACCUGAGUCCAACUUCCCAGAAGUCCUCAGCUGAAGUGGCCGCUGUGCUGCAGCAGAGAGCGUCCCGUCUCAUGUGACCAGCAGCUAUUCAGGUGCAGUCAGUCGGCCGGAAACCCAACACAAGAGGCAUCAUUGUGUGGGGGCUCUUGGCGCCCCGUUGGCUGGUCUUCCUCCUUCCUGCUGCCGCUGAAGGACGCUCGACCUCUGGAAUGGUUGAGGAGAAAAAAAGCCGUCCCUCCCAGGUAGAUGCAGCCGUUGAGUCGGAGGACGAGCCCAGCCCAAAACCAACCAGUUUGCAGCUCGUCACUCCUCUUCCUCCUGGCGGGAUCAGGCGGUUUUUUCCACGCGCCCUCCUUGGCGGUGUGGGACAGUUAAGCUCCUCCACAAGACAGAGGCUGAAUUUGUAAAGGGCUUGGUUUACAUGUAGUCUGACCCCCCCCCAACCUCCUCCUCUUUUCCCCCACAGGUGUAAUUUUCAGGUCGUGGCCAAUCUCCUUAGCCUCUGGCGGUCACAGGUGUGUCCUCUCGCUGUCAGCAGCCAAUGGCGAUAGUGGUGAACCCCCCCUCGCAUGCCUCCCACCCUACAACUCGCUCACCUCCACCCUCCACCCUCCCUAACAGCCCCCAGGUACGGUGUUUUGUUUUUAUGAUGUCAGCUCCAGCUUCUGUGGGAACGACCUCCUUUGGUCCAAUUACAGCAACAGGUAAGACGCCAUCAGCCUCAGCUGCGCGGCACUCCUGCCCGCCUGGGGGGGCAGCGCAGGGUCCUCAGAAGCAUCUGAGGUUUUCACACACAUAAACCUUCACCUCCUUCUGAAUCACCGAGCUAUAACCUGAAAUACCUGCCCUUUGCCCCCCCUUUGUGUACACACACCUUUUCCUACCUGGAACAAUAACCCAGCGUAACAGCAGCCAUGACAGCUGAGCAAAGGCCAGGUGAAACGCCACUGCUUUAACCUCAGAGCAGGGUGCCCAUGAGCGUGGGGGGACCGAGCGGGGGCCCCGUCCCCACCCCGGCUCUCCUGGAUACUGUGGAACAGAGCCUCUCUGGGUCUCUGUGUGUAAUUGUGAGGAUUAGUUCAACAACAAUGAGCACAAAUCCAGAGCCGUAUCCAGUUUCAGAGAAGGCGGGGCAGCAGAACCGGACGACUGUUGGAGGCCGGGAAACAAACGGGCAUCUGUGGAGGCCCGAUCCAAGCGGCAGCAAGUCCUUCAGUCAACCGCCGUCUCCCAAACAGGCUGUGAGAAGCUUCACAGAGAAACGGCUCUGCGAUUCAUGAGCUUCAGCGUCAGGCACACUGUAGGGGGAAAAUGCAGAUGUGACUUCAUGACAUGAUUCAGUGAGAAACCAGGUUCCUGCAGCUUUUCCUGACGAACCAAGACGCACGCCUUAAGCAGGUUGAGGAUUCCUCCCAUCCUGGACCUGCAUGCGUCCAGGAUUCAUCCUCAAAGUGGGUUCAUCCGCUUCGUGUCAUGAAGCUCAGCCUGCUCCCAGGAGCAGCUCUUCUAAGAAAGGUCUGCUUUGUUUGGACUCUGCAUUUGCAUUCCAAAUGAGGGCUGGAGUGGAGCACAGAGCCUGACCUGAACUCAUUUGGCUACUGAUGGCUAUCUGGGCAGCCAGUCACGCAGGACGGCAUGGGAGGCCGUCCAUCACCCUCAGAUGCAGAGCAACCGCCGUCGCAGAGAGGCGUCUGCUCACACUCUGCAGCGCAAACACAACCGCUGCACGGCCAUGCGUCGGACUGUCUCCGCCAGCCUUUAUGUCACCACUUUUGACAGGUUUGGCUGAAGUUACAGACAGAGCGAUGCGACAAUAUCCCCAUGGAACAAACCAUUGUGUGGGUUUAUUGUUCGUCUGGGAGAGCUCUUCUCCCUGUAGGUGCAGCUUAAACCUCCACCCUCAAGAACAAAAACAGAAAAUGCAUCACAUGCAAAAAAAAAAAA